GUUAUUGUUUCUUCCUUGAAAUAGUAAUUGAAGAUCAAUUUUUUUUAGCGGUAUGCAAAGGUGUUGGCGUGGAAUGUCGGCAUCCAGGCGAUGAUGCAUGGUUGACAAGUUCAAGACCAUGGAAGCAGUAGAGGGAUGUGGCAUUUCAGCCGAGUAGUGUGCAAUAUUUACAAGAUGAGAACAGCAAGAUUGUUCAAGGUAAGACAGUAUGCUUUCGAGAAUGAUGAGCUUAAAUUUUAUGAUGCAUUUGUUGUUGAAUUGCUCGAUGAGAAACAUAAGUUCGAAACUGCAGAGGAAGAGUGUUCUUGCAAAUAUGAUUUAAAAUGGCAACACCAGGUACAGUCAAAUAUUAUUUAAGCUUCAAUUCAGUAUCGUCAUCCAUGCUUUAAAUCAUUAACCGUCAGCUAAAUACUUAGGACAUUAUUAUGCUAAGCAGAAUGAGAAAACCACCUCCAAUUAGGCCAUGCUUUAUAUUCAAUCCACGAGGACCGUGUACAAGAGGAGAUAGGUUACUGUGCUUUUCAAAAUUCUUCCAUUAUUGGACUGGUAUUCAUGACAACAGUAUUCGCUGAAAUGAAGUUGCAGCGUAAUUAGCAUUACCUCGUCUAGUCUUUCAACUUAAAAAGCCUACGAGCCACCUUUCAUAGGUGAACAUUCCAAUUACUUGGAGGGGGGACUAAACUAGGCUGUCUUUGGCUGAUGUAACAAACAAGCUUCUUCAUUUCUCAUAACCAAAUAUUGAAACUAGGAAGGUCUUCCACUUAUGUUUGGGAAUUUGAUGCCUUUACAUUAUAAAAUGCGACUCAAACUGCUGUUAUCAACCAGAUAAAUUGGCAUCCUUCUUCUUAAUGAUUUGAUAAAUUUAUGACAGCUGGGGUGUUCACUACCAUAAAUCAUGCUAGGAGAAGAGCUACGUCCAAAGUAUGAAGAACUGCGAUUGCAAAUGACCAAUAAGCCACGACAGAGGACAUGCUUUGGCUUGCUAACUUAUGAGUUAUGACAUUGAGAAAUCAUGGGUUGUUAGACAAAAUGCAAGCAUUAAUAUUCAGGAAAGUAUUUGCAGCAACCCAGCAAAGUCCUCAAAGAACAUCAAUCUUUCAUAGCCGCUGCACAGCAAGGCAAAAAGAGCAACUUCUCUGCCCACACAUUGAGCAUCAACAAAUAAAAUCAAUUUCUUAGAUGUUAAUGACAAGCUUGAUGACACCUUUGUUGGUGUGGACAUCAACGGUGAAAAACAAUAAAUUGAGAAAAACAGAAUUGAACAAUCAAUCAAGUUGAGCGAUUACCUUAAUAUUUCCCAAAUUCAAGCAAUAAAAUUGAAUCUAAACUAGAGGGUUGAAACUGUCUAAAAAUUACAACACUCCAAGGAACAAACUUACAAAA